CAGUGCCUAAAAGUGCCUUAUAAAACUGUUCAAGGUGCCUUCUAAAACCUACAGUUUAACACGAAAUUGAAAAUGGUGAGAAGUUUCAAAGCAUUGUGCAGUGUCAUAUUGGAGUCUGGAAAGAGCAGUGAAAAGAAAGAAAAAAAGACUAAGCCAGGAAACCUCUUGAAGGCCCAGAGAAGUAGGCACGUAUAUAAGGUUGAAGUUUGAGUUAGAUAGUUGAUCAGAUUCAGGUUCUGAUCUUUGAGCCAGAACACUUCCAAG
rnacentral:lncRNA from 1 species